GUGCUAAGGUAGCAUAAUCACUUGUUUCUUAAUUGGUAGCUGGAAUGAACGGUUGAGCUGGUUUAGUAGGUGUGUGUGUUGAAAUAGAAAAUUAAAGUCAUGGUAAUAAUUCUUUGAUCUUUUAGGGGACGAUAAGACCCUAAAAGCUUAAUAAAUAUAUAGUGAUUUUGUAGUUUUAGUUGGUUUGUUUUACUGGGGCGGUACUGGUACUUAAACUAUCAGUUUGGUUAAGAUCCUUAAAAUAUAGAAUAAACAGAGAAGUUACUUUAGGGAUAACAGUGCAAUAUUUUUGGAGAGAUCUUAUCGAUAAAUAUGUUUGCAACCUCGAUGUUGAAUUA
rnacentral:rRNA from 1 species